AUACGAAGGGCCCGAGCGUUGCGCGGAAUCACUGGGCUUAAAGCGUACGUAGGCGGACAUGCAGGCAUUUUGUGAAAGCCCUCGGCUCAACCGAGGAAUUGCAGGGUGAACCGCAUGUCUUGAGGUGAGUAGGGGCUGUCGGAACGAUAGGUGGAGCGGUGAAAUGCGUUGAUAUCUAUCGGAACGCCAAAGGCGAAGGCAGACAGCUGGGCUUAUUCUGACGCUGAGGUACGAAAGCGUGGGGAGCGAACGGGAUUAGAAACCCCGGUAGUCC
rnacentral:rRNA from 1 species